GUCGUGAGAUGUUGGGUUAAGUCCCGCAACGAGCGCAACCCUCGUUCCAUGUUGCCAGCGGGUUAUGCCGGGGACUCAUGGGAGACUGCCGGGGUCAACUCGGAGGAAGGUGGGGAUGACGUCAAGUCAUCAUGCCCCUUAUGUCCAGGGCUUCACACAUGCUACAAUGGCCGGUACAAAGGGCUGCGAUGCCGUGAGGUGGAGCGAAUCCUUUAAAGCCGGUCUCAGUUCGGAUCGGGGUCUGCAACUCGACCCCGUGAAGUCGGAGUCGCUAGUAAUCGCAGAUCAGCAACGCUGCGGUGAGUACGUUCCCGGGCCUUGUACACACCGCCCGUCACGUCAUGAAAGUCGGUAACACCCGAAGCCGGUGGCCUAACCCCUCGUGGGAGGGAGCCGUCGAAGGUGGGAUCGGCGAUUGGGACGAAGUCGUAACAAGGUAGCCGUACCGGAAGGUGCGGCUGGAUCACCUCCUUUCUAAGGAGCACCACGAGACCUGGCCGGCCCCGCAUCGUGUGGGAUCAGCCGUAGUCCAGGCGAUUCGUUGGAUGGACCCGUUGCCCGUCACUGGGCGUAUCCGUAGUGGAGCGGGUUCUGGUGCAUGGACAAACGAGAUUUCUGGUGUUCCCGGGUUACCGGGGCGCCGGCCACCAAGCACACUGUUGGGCUUUGAGACAACAGGCCCGUGUUUCCCUGGCCACCGUGUGUGGUGGGAGGCGUGUUGUUGCCCCAGGUUUUGGUGGUGGGGUGUGGUGUUUGAUUCGUGGAUAGUGGUUGCGAGCAUCAACUCGCAGCAGUCGAGGUUCUCCUUCCUUUCGGGGUGGGUGGGCUUCGUUGUUGUGGGUUGUUGUGGUGUAAUUUCGAUUUUGUUGAAAACAAUUGGUUUUUGUGUUGUAAGUGUUUAAGGGCGCAUGGUGGAUGCCUUGGCAUCAGAGGCCGAUGAAGGACGUGGGAGGCUGCGAUAUGCCUCGGGGAGCUGCCAACCGAGCGUUGAUCCGAGGAUGU
rnacentral:sRNA from 1 species